UAGGCAGGUACAGAGGGCAGCUACCCAGCAAUGGGAUGCGAAUCUCGAAAGCCUGUCUCAGUUCGGAUUGGAGGCUGAAACCCGCCUCCAUGAAGUUGGAUUCGCUAGUAAUCGCGCAUCAGCCAUGGCGCGGUGAAUACGUUCCCGGGCCUUGUACACACCGCCCGUCAAGCCAUGGGAGCCGGGGGUACCUGAAGUGCGUAACCGCGAGGAUCGCCCUAGGGUAAAACUGGUGACUGGGGCUAAGUCGUAACAAGGUAAC
rnacentral:rRNA from 1 species